GGCUUCGUGGUCGAGUGGUAAGAACACCUGUCUCUCACGCUGGAGCCCCGGGUUCGAUCUCCAGCCGAGGAACUA